ensembl:lncRNA
AUAUAAAACCACCCUAAUGGUCGCCCAGGUUACCGACUUCAUUUAGUUAAUCAUCACCACUAUUACCAAUGUUCAGGCCUUGAGAAAAAAAGGAAAGAAUGACUGAAGAGGAGUGGAAAACAAGAAACUUAAAUUAAGGACAGGAAGAAAGCCCUGUUUCCUACGUGUGCAAACCUCCACACAAAAGGGGAAGCCUAGCAGAGUUCUUACAGUUCUAUGGCUAUCUCAUGGGAGCGACUUCCAAAGGCUACCAUCAGCUGGGAGAAGAUAUAGGCAAGAAUAAAAAAUAAAAGUCAAGAAUUAGACGCAGUGAAACGGAGGGGGUCCUAUUAAAGCCAACCCCACGUCUGAGUAACGGUCAAUAAACUCC